rnacentral:rRNA from 1 species
CACCGCGGUUAUACGAGAGGCCCAAGUUGAUGACCGCCGGCGUAAAGCGUGGUUAAGUAAAAAUCUCACACUAAAGCCAAACGUCUUCAAGACUGUUAUACGUAGCCGAAGACAGGAAGUACAACCACGAAAGUGGCUUUAUAUGAUCUGAACCCACGAAAGCUAAGGAA